AUGUAGUAGUCGUGUACGAGAGCACCAACACAGGGUGGUCAUCACUCAUCACUCCUCUUUUAUCUCUACAUAGACAAGCACAGCUUAUUGAAUCAUCUAAGCUUAUGCAAGACAAGCACAGGGAAAUACCAUCUUAUUCGAGGGUCUGCUUAUAGAUAAAGAAUUUGGUUUGUCUCAAAUUAUGGAGAAGAUCUUUCUUCUGCCCGUUGGGAUUGUAUUGUUACAGCUUGUGGUUCAUUGCUCUGGUACUGAUUUGAAGGUAAAACAUGACAAAACUGUCUAAUUAUAGUAAAAUUUAUUGUUUUGAAGAUAAUCAAAUAUAGAAAGAAAAAAAGAGAGUAUUCCUCUGAA